GCAAAAUACAGGAUGCUGCUGACACAGGUUCUGGGGAGGAAAAAGGCAUGUUUUAUUUCAAAUAAAACAAAACAAUAAAGAUGGCUAGGACAUAGCACAACUGGAUGGCUAAGAAUUCAAAAGCAAGAUACCAGAAAAAUAAAAAAUCAAAACCUAAUUGUUGUAAUGGUUUCAGGCUAAAAAAAUAAACUGCUUUUAAGACUUGAAAGUUGACUGGGCAAGGCAGAUUUUGAAGAAAUUAUUCAACAGUCAUAAAUUACAAAUUGAGAGAAUAAGGAAGGUCAGGCUGUACAAAAACCCAUGGGAAACCCACCUGAACCAGACGGCCACAAAAAGUACAUUAGCUUUUGUCUGAAACAGGUGUCAUUUACCUGUGAAUGAAGAAAUUGUGCCAGUCACUGGGGGAUCUCUUCAGGUAAUUCCAGAUGACAGUGGUGGCCCUGGUCUCUCUCUAAGGCUCCAGAGCCUCUCAGAGCCCACAGGACUUUUAAGGUACUUAAAUAUGUGGUAUAUUUUGACAACAGCAUGUUUUAUAAGUCAUUUGUCAUCAGCAAACUUUAGACAAGGUUAAUGAAAGUUCUGUCACUUUAAUGUCUAGCCGGCUUUAAAUUACAAAUGUCAUGCGCCAUGACUAAAGAAAGGGCACCGCAAUAAUACCAUAAACCAUCAUCUCCAGGGACAUACAGGUAAUUGCAUAGCUCAUUAAAAAACUGUUUUAAUUAUUAAUUGACCGUGUCAGAGUUGUCCUUUGAAGUCAAUUUUAAUUUUUUUUUCCUUGCAAGCAUUAUGAUUUCAAGCUGACCUAGAGAACUUUGUGUACCACCUAAAAAACUGCCAGCAGAGGUUGCUAAGGAAGCUCUCCAAUACUGAAAAUUACUUUCCAAGUCAUUUGCACAUGAUCUGCUUAUUGAGGGGAAGGAAAGAGCUGAACAUUUUUGGAGAGGUUUGGUGUAAUUCCAUCACUUUAUAGAGAUCACAGAACAACAAAGAGAAUCUAAGUGUGGUGGAAAGAGCAAGCACUUGUCUUUUUUUUUUUAGCACUUGUCUUUUUAAGUUUUCUUCCAUGAGGAUAGAAUGCCAAACAAUGACUUUUGCAGAAGACCACAGGACAAUCUGAUCAGGCCUUAGCUGAACUCAUGGACAGCACAGCUCAUUAAGUUUCUUAUUUAAUAAGUAAUUCAAUAAAUAAGCUGUUUGCAAUCUUCAGGGCUGAACAGUCCUCACUCACAAUGGGCAACAAUAAUUCAUAUACCUAAACCUAUCCUUCAAGUUCCCGUGUUCAAGAGAGAACCUAGCAGUCUCACUUCUCUUUUUCUGAAUGAAUCCAGAAAGCACCAUCUAGAAAGACAAAGAUUAUGUCCAUUCCUGCAAGAGAUGCCAAUGGCAUCCAGAAUUAAAUGACUAAUUCUAUAUUUAUAAAGAGACCAGCAUCCAUAAUGUCAAAUGACAGAUCCUCACCAAUUUAUUAGCAGAUUGAACUUUCACUGUUAAGAAAAAGAAUUUCUCAAGAUCGGGAUCUUAUAAAUUAACCCAGUCCUUCCUGCAAACCAUUUUAAAAAAGACCAUGCCAACCUUAAGAUUGAAGGAUUCAUUUUCUCAUAAAAAUCUGGGGUGAACUGAUCUUCUUGCAAGAAGAUCCAAUUACAACACAAACUAAAAAUCGGGGACCAGUAUUAUGUUGGGGUACAGUCACAAAGCCAAGCUCAAUCUAGUUCCAUCAAUACAAACACCGACAGCUAGUCUGUCCAUCAAGUUUGUAGAGCCAACAACUCACAACUCAAACCUACAAUCAAUUUAUGGACUCUGCUGUUGUUAAUGACUAUGCCGGGAGAGUAACACCAGAAACCUGACAGCACCCUCAGAACUCACAGAUCAUCUCCCAGAAUGUGAAAAUGAGCUAAGUCAUUUGUGCUGCAUUGUCUGCACCUUGAGAAUUAAACAGUGACUACCAACUGGUAACAGAAAUUCUUCUCACUGGGGGCUGAACACCUGAUUCUCCUCUGCACAUCAGGCAGAGACUAGCAAACAGAAUGACAGGAAGGAGCCAUUCCAUCCACAGUCCCUACAUUAUGGAGAACUGUGCAAAGAUGCAGAGCAAAUCCCCUAAGUAAAUAAAUAUACAAAUAUAUAACUAAAAUUAAAAUACUCUGAAAAUGGGACGUAAUGGCACAGGGCUCAGGAAACUAGGGCUCACGAAUAAAAGCCCAUUCUACUGCCCUGUGGACCUGAGCUACGAAUCAUCCCUGCCCCCCACCUCAAUGUGGGGAUUGAACCUAUGACCCUGAGAUCAACAGUCACACGCUCUGCUGACUAAGCCAGCCAGGCACCCCUCAUUUUCACAUUUUUAAGUGGUUGGGAGAAACAUUUUUUUCAAGAAUAAUAUAUCACAACUCACAAAAGUUAUAGGAAAUUUAAAUUUCAGUGUCCAUAAAUAAAGUUUUAUUGGCACACAGCCAUGCUUGUUCGUUUACAUAUUGUGUGUGGCAGCUUUCAUGCUACAACGGCAGAGUUGAGUGGUUGUGAAAGACACCGUAUGGCCCACAAAGCCUAACAUAUUUACUAACUUGCCCUUUGCAGAGAAAAUUCACCAACCUCCGUUAGAAUGAAAGGGAGCCUACGAUGCUAACCUUCAAUGGCAUAUCCAAGUGAGAUCACCCCAGCUCGUUCCUUCUAGCAAUACUGAUAUUUAAUAAUUUAAAGAUCCCCCCCAAAGAGGAGAUUUCACAAUAAAUGAUAAAUCUCUCCAGCCAGAGGGUACAGCAGAAGUGUCUCCAAAUUGAUUAUAAAGUUCUAUCUCUGGUAUACACAUAUAAGUGCAAUACAAUGUACAAUAUUCUAAUUAAAUUGAAGAAUGGCUGCACAAGCCAUGUUUCUAUUAGCCAGGUCUUAUUUGAUUUAGCAGCAGUAAUGAAUGCUGAAUCAGGUUAGGGUUGUUGGGCUUAUCUGGCUUUGCCAAUCUACUGAAAUUAGGAUAAUAAAACUGAAGAUAUGUAAUAGUGAAGACAUUUAAAAAGAAAACUCGUUUAUCUUCAAUUAAAAUAUCCACCAUACUGACAAUAAACUUAUUACUCCUCCCUACAGAAAGGUUAGGUUGAAGCACAUAGCACAUUAUAAAAAGAAUUCAGUCGGGCAUGGGGACGGUGGAGUUACAUUUUAGAAGUCCAAAAAUAGCCUGGUUUUCCUGUGAUACCAACACUUCACACAUUUGUGGAAAAAAAACAACAGGCAAAACACAGAAGCUUAAAAUAUUCUCUGACAAACUGCUGCACUAGAUUUUUGGCUUCAUUAUAAAGCUAAAUCUCCCUACGUAGAGUGGGGAAAGGGAUGGUGAUCCAGUUUCCUGAAAUGAGCAGAACUGGCUGGGG
rnacentral:lncRNA from 1 species